GUGAUUAAUCGAGCGUGUCUUCAUUGACCGCUCACCCUUCUCACCAUCCACAUCGCCUGUGCACUGUUUAGCCUGAGCCGGUUUCCGGUCCAGGUUAUCAUUUCACACAAACUCUAGUCUUAUGAAUGUAAACGUUUUAAUAACAUAAUA
rnacentral:misc_RNA from 1 species